CCUUGCGCUAUCAGAUGAGCCUAGGUCGGAUUAGCUAGUUGGUGGGGUAAUGGCUCACCAAGGCGACGAUCCGUAACUGGUCUGAGAGGAUGAUCAGUCACACUGGAACUGAGACACGGUCCAGACUCCUACGGGAGGCAGCAGUGGGGAAUAUUGGACAAUGGGCGAAAGCCUGAUCCAGCCAUGCCGCGUGUGUGAAGAAGGUCUUCGGAUUGUAAAGCACUUUAAGUUGGGAGGAAGGGCAGUAAGCUAAUACCUUGCUGUUUUGACGUUACCGACAGAAUAAGCACCGGCUAACUCUGUGCCAGCAGCCGCGGUAAUACAGAGGGUGCAAGCGUUAAUCGGAAUUACUGGGCGUAAAGCGC
rnacentral:rRNA from 1 species